AUGACAACAUAAUUGUAUACAAUUUACGGCACUUUUGAAUGUGUUGUCAAUGUACCCUUUCGGUCCCAAUUACAACGCCGGUAACAUACAAGACAUUCCUAUUUUCAGCGCUUUAGUAAGUGCUUCACAAAACAUUCUUAAAUACGAUAUUCUUUGAAUAUUUUUCGAAGACUUUCGAAAGGCUGCUGUUUCCUGCUUAAGAGUAAACAUGGCGACGACCUAUCGUGAGGAAGAGAGAAAAAGUAUUUUUUUUUAUGGAGAAAACUUCAAACUGAUACGAACAGAGAAGUUGAAACCAACAAGUUAGAAUAACAUAAAGUGCUAGUAACAGUGUUUAUAGUGCCACUUUUGGAAGCUCGUUGAAGAGAAGGAAGCCAUGACAGUUUCAGGGUAAAAAGCGAAAGAAUACCGUAAGAAAUAGUUAUGCCACAUUUUUGUGUUGCUAUCAAUUGUACCAAGUUAUACGAAAGGUUCAGGAAUUUCAUUUCACAAUGGUUAUAGAUAAUUAUCUCUUCAUAUAUGGCUGAAGAGUAUCUUAAGGACGAAAUGUAUUCCAGAAAUAAUGUUUCAGUCGCAUGAUAGAAGUGUUAUUUUGAUGUUCUCGGUGUGGCAUACGCCUAUCUCCUCUACUCAGUGAAUGAUAUAGCUUUAUCAAUAUAAAAAGGCAGUCAAAAUUUUAAUGAAGAUAACUGCGUAAAAACGAUGGCGAAUAACUUAGAAAAUAAAAAUUGGAAGCACAUUUAUGCACUAGAAAAUGCAAGAGGAAGAAUUUUAAUAUCCGAACUGAUUUUUGGAGGCGUAUGCAGACAAACUAGGAAAAGAUUUUUAGUUAGAGCACCGGAUAGAUAGGAAACACCUAUGCCUCUUUUUUUAAAUAUGUAGAUGAACAGUUAAUCAUAAUUACAGACAAUGCUAGAGGUCAGGGUUUAGAAAAGUAUAGAUUUUCCAAAAUAUAAUAUUAUUCAGUGCUGGAUGAGUCAACACCGACGGACAAUUCGAUUGCUAUCGAAGAGGUUCGAUCUAAGCACUCAAAUUCAUCUAUUCUUUCAAUCUGAGUAGUUCGAUUUUCUUAGAAAUUUCUACAGACAUGGACAUAAAAUAUUCAUUUUUCGUUCGAUGGUUUCUUUUUACA